GUUAUGGUUUUAGAUCUGUCUUAGGGAAUUCAUUAGAUAGUGUGAAGUGAUAGCCAUGUCUGUGAAUAAUAACAAUAAUAGUACUACUACUAAUAAUAACAACAAUAGUAAUAGUAAUCCGCCCAAGAGCCUUGGGCAACCUACGGGGAUGCUCAGUCAAUCGUUGCCCAUGAACCCAGCAUUCUCACAGUCACAAUCUCAGGUGCAAAUUGGCACCGGCUUUCAGGGUCAGUUCCAGCUGUCCCAAGCACAGGUCACUGCUCAGGCACAGUUGAAAGCGCAACAGGCUCAUGUGCAAGCACAGGCCCAAGCAGCUCAUGCUGCUCAAGUUCAAGCAGCGCAUGCACAGUUCCAAGCUCAGUUGCAGGCUCAGGGAAUAUCUCUUAGCCAAGCCCAAAAUGCCGCCUUGGGAAACUUGGGUUCAUCCUCACCUUCAUUUUCAACUCCUGGUAGCAUGAAUUUGAAGCGUCUACCUCAAAAACCCCCAGUUCGGCCUCCUGGUGUUCCCAUGCCAAGCAUGAUUUCCCCAUUGAGAACUAUGGAUCUCACCCCUGCAGCUCGCAGGAAGAAGCAGAAGCUU
rnacentral:misc_RNA from 1 species